rnacentral:rRNA from 1 species
UACAGAGGUCUCAAGCGUUGUUCGGAUUUAUUGGGCGUAAAGAGCUCGUAGGCGGUUUGUCGCGUCGUUCGUGAAAACUCCACGCUUAACGUGGAGCGUGCGGGCGAUACGGGCAGACUUGAGUUCGGUAGGGGAGACUGGAAUUCCUGGUGUAGCGGUGAAAUGCGCAGAUAUCAGGAGGAACACCGGUGGCGAAGGCGGGUCUCUGGGCCGAUACUGACGCUGAGGAGCGAAAGCGUGGGGAGCGAACAGG